GACGAACGCUGGCGGCGUGCUUAACACAUGCAAGUCGAACGGAAAGGCCCUGCUUUUGUGGGGUGCUCGAGUGGCGAACGGGUGAGUAACACGUGAGUAACCUGCCCUUGACUUUGGGAUAACUUCAGGAAACUGGGGCUAAUACCGGAUAGGAGCUCCUGCUGCAUGGUGGGGGUUGGAAAGUUUCGGCGGUUGGGGAUGGACUCGCGGCUUAUCAGCUUGUUGGUGGGGUAGUGGCUUACCAAGGCUUUGACGGGUAGCCGGCCUGAGAGGGUGACCGGCCACAUGGGGACUGAGAUACGGCCCAGACGCCUACGGGAGGCAGCAGUGGGGAAUAUUGCACAAUGGGCGGAAGCCUGAUGCAGCAACGCCGCGUGCGGGAUGACGGCCUUCGGGUUGUAAACCGCUUUCGCCUGCGACGAAGCGUGAGUGACGGUAAUGGGUAAAGAAGCACCGGCUAACUACGUG
rnacentral:rRNA from 1 species